UAAAAAGAAAAAAAAGACUCUCGAUCCCUCGCUCGCACAAAACCUUGCCGCUAACAAUUUCUUUCUGACACAGUCACAAAAAACUAACAAAUUUCCCCAUCCUCAUACAAACUACACGGUCACUCCACAGCCUGUAGUGUUUUUACCUCUCAAAAAGCAGCACAGCAGUUCGGGAGAACAAACAGAAGCAUCAUCGUCAUCAUCAACACAACAACGAUAAACAGAACCCAUUUUUUUUUAUUUCAAUAAUAACAAUUGCUCUUUUCUGUUGUGUUUAUGGCAGGUAACAGAAAAUUUGGGACAGGUGCAAGGAAUAAAUCAAAAUCGAGAACACCAGUGUUACAGAUCCAAUAUCGAUCCGCCGCCGCCACGCGUGACAACCCCGAACAACAAUUCAUUGAUUCAAGUGGUUUCCAACUCCGAUGUGUCUUCAAGAACGCGCCUCCGAUCGGAAACAGAGCAAGUGAGAGGACAACAAGGAUCGGUCAUCAUCAACUUCAACAAUUAAUGGAGUUCUCCUUCAACGUAACAACCACGCGCCGACUUCGAUGAGAAAGUACCGCCGCAAAGAACUCUUCUCCGACCAUUGAUAUCGUCGGAAUCACUUUCCAACGUCGAGCCGUCGCUUUUGCACAGUGUUGUAAGAUCUCUUUUUUCAUUGAUUGGUAUUUACUUAUGAGUUUUGUUGCUUGUAUUCUCUUCUAAAUAUCUGCCAUGGAUUUUCGACUUGAUGAAGAAGGCAUGGGGCUGUUUUGGGUUUUGUUUAAUCUUGACAUAAUACGUAGAGAGAGAGGAAGCAGAGACUUGUGUUGUCUUCGGUUUUGUUUGGAUAUUUGUUUGUUGUUUUUUUUAUUAUUCAUAUUAACAAGGCCACGUGUCAAGUAUUUAUUGGAUGUUCCUUUAAUUUGAAAUGUCAAAAGAAUGAUAUCAUUAUAAUGUGUGGUUUUAGAAAUCCCUUUAGGAACGUGAGGAAGUGGCCGAAUUGCUUUCGUAUGCAGUAUUUUUCUAAGUAUGUAUAUAUGCUGCUAGUAUGUUCUAAUUUAGAUGUGUUAGUAAAACCACACACACAUACUGUGCACGCACGAUGCCGUUAAUGAAUAUUAAAAGAAAUUCAUUAAAAAAAAAUUAACUAAACAAAAAAAUAAAAAGAAGAAAGGAUUUAUUUCAUUUAGUUAAAUUAGUUGUUCAUAUUCAAUUGAUUUAUUUCUUAAGUUUUUUAAUUAAGAUUAUUCGAAGAUACAAAAAAAACACACUCUUUUGUUUUUUUAAUAGUUCGAUUAAAUAACUUGUAAAUAAUUUAUUUUAUAAAUUUUCAUUAUUUCUCAUACAUCAUUUUAUAUAUCCGUACUAACAUUUUUUUAUUUUUGCGAGAUACUACCAUCGUGAGCAUUAGACUGCUUUGCAGACAUUCGUAGCUUAUGCAUGCGCGGAUUAAUCCAAUGUUUCAGAGCCUGCAGUCCCAUGGUGAAAUUUCAAGAAGAUUCGACCACGCUUAAUCGAAAAGCUAAAGCUAAGUCUUUGAAUUUUUUAUUUAGUUUAAUAUUAUUUAAAUAUUAAUUGUGCCCUAUAAAUUAAAUUAGGGUUUAUUUUCAAUGGCCAAUGAACUACUCCUACACUCACCCUUUUUCUGUUUAUUUUUCCUUUUCCAAUUUUCAGGGGUAGCCAACCGGUCAAAGCUGGAUUAGUCGGUAACCCUAAAACUUAAUUUGUUUUAAUUUCUUUUUUUUAAUUAUUACUUGUGUCAAACCCUAUUAAGGGAUCCGCUGGUUUCAAUUUCCCUUCCCCUUUAUUGCUUUAUAUACUGCGUGGUUAGUAAUUUAGGGAGUGCAAAUUUAAACUGGAUUAGAGUCACUAAUUAUAAGAUAUAUAAUUGAAUAUAAUCACGUGAUUGGUGCACACACGCACGCUUUUGGGUAACCUCUCUGUUGCCUUGUUUCCUGUUGCCUUGUUGCAUGUUGCCUUGUGUUUUUGCAGAAUAAGCCAAGUCCCUCGAAUACGAGGAUACCUCAGCCAUGUUGCCUCGAUAAAAAGGUCACGACCCUAAAUGAUGCUGCCUUCGAUACACAAAUGACCUCGACCCUCGGAAGUUGCCUACGGAAAAAGGCUGAGGUAUCUUCUGGUUGCCUAACGAAAAAUGGCUUAUUCUGAUCCUUGCCUUAGAUUACCUGCCCUUCUAUGGCAUGAGACAGUCUUAUGGCAAAGGAUGCUUCGACGACCCUUCAACCUCCAAACGAAAGGCUUCCUGCCCUCUUAUGGCAAGGAUAGACCCUUUCAUUCUGAAAGGCUAAAAAGAGACCUAUCAUCUGAGUUUAAGGUAAUUGCCCCUAAUUGCCUUGCAAUGCUCAAAUCUUUUUAUUAUAUUCUUUCUCAUAAUUUUUCAAAAGGGCUACGCUCAUUUACGAGCUAAAGUCCCUAUCUCUUUCACCUACAUUUUCUAAACAAACGAGCAAGCAAAGCAAUUAAGAGCCCAUGGAAAACCAUGGAUGCAAAGGGUGCCUUACACCUUCCCUUUGCAUAAAUUACCCCCCGAACUUAGAUUUCUUUAAAAGGUUUUUUUCUGUUUCUUUUAGCCUUUCUGAAUUUGUUUGGAUAAAAUAAAAGUCGGUGGCGACUCAUGCUUAACCGCAACAUUUUUCGAUUAUAAAGUCAGUUCACCGUAUUACACUGUGCUAGUCACCUCAUUUGUCUUUAUUAUCUCUCCUCACGUCACGUAACAUUAAAUGUUUUUUCAUCAUUCGUUUCAUUUUAUUUUCCUUUUAAAUACUCUUCAAACUCUUCUCUUUCCCUCUCAUCUCUCUCUAUCUCUUUGCAUUUCUUCAUCAAGUUUUUUUUUUCUCUCUCUCUUCCAUAUCAAACCCUACUUGUUCAUUUUUCUGCAAACCCAUCAUGAACUCUUCAUCAAGCCCAGGAAAUAAUGAAAAUGAUCCCUCGCCUGAAAGCCCAAGAAGCAGUCAAUGAGGCGUUUCACUCCUUCAUGGCAUGCUGGCACAAACGGUGUCUUAGCUAGGGUCCUAGGAUUUGGUCUUAGUAGUUUUAUUUUCCUUGAUUGUUAAACAUCUUUCUUGUAAUCCUUUUUGAUUAUCAAUGAAAAACUUUCUUUGUUUUACAUUCCAGUGAUUCUAUUUGUCUUAUGCAUCUAAUUCUUUUGAAAUAUUGCUUUUUGAUGUUAUGACAAAAAGGGGGAGAAGAUAAAUGAUAAAUGAUUUGAUUAAAUCUAUCAGUUGCUGGGUAAAGAGGCUCCCACACAUUCACUAACAAGAACUGCAAGUUCUAUAUGGUUUAAGUGUUUUGCAGGUACAAAGAAGUGAAGUGAAUCUUCAGAAGCAAACACUAGAAGCAAAACCAUAAGAAGCGUUAUUCUGUAAAAGGAAUAAGCUCUUGGAAACUGAAGCAAGCUGAGUGCUGUCAAGCUUCAGGAAUCAGAAGCACGAUCAGAAGCACUGAUAAUAGAAUUUGAAUAUCAUUGUCUAUCCUGUUCUGACAAAAUUCUAUUUGCUCUGAUACAUAUAAUGUUAUGGCUCUGAUACAUUAUUUGCUCUGAUACACGUUUUUAGCCUAAAUGCUCUGAUACAUUUGGCUCUGAUACAUAUCAUGUAUUUGAAUAUACAUUUUAUGUUCUAACUCGUUCAUGCUGACUUUUGUCGUUUAGUUUUUGUUCUGUAACAUUUCAGGAUGUAGAGAUGCUCUGAUGAUGCUCUGAUGAUGCUCUGGUACAUUCAACAAUGUUCUGAUACAAAUCUAGCAUGAAGUGAUGUUGGUAGACAUUCAAAGUUCUGAAGCUAUCCGAGAGAAGCAGAAAUCAGAAGAUGUGAAUGUUCUAGAAGAUCCAGAAAACUCAAGUUCUGAAGCUGUCCUGAAUGGAAGCAGAAAUCAGAAGCUGUGAAUGUUCUGAAGAUCAAAGAAAUUCAAGUUCUGAAGCUGUCCUGAAUGGAAGCAGAAGUCAGAAGCUGUGAAUGUUCUGAAGAUCAAAGAAAUUCAAGUUCUGAAGCUGUCCACGAUGGAAGCAGGAAUCAGAAGCUGUGAGUGUUCUAAGGAUCUAAAGAAAUUCAAGUUCUGAAGCUGUCCAAUGGAAGCAGAAGUCAGAAGCUAUGAAUUCUCUGAAGGCAGAAGCUUAUAUGAUCGUCUCUACCGAAAUAAUCAGGGAAGUCUUUUAUUAAAGUUCUUCGAGUAUUUAUUUCAGGGGGAGAUUAUUUAUCUCAGGGGGAGAUUGUUAAUCUCAGGAGGAGACAUAUUCAUAUGCUUAUGCUAUAGCUGUGUAAUUUGUCUUUUGCCGUCUACUCUUUCUGAUCGCAAAUUCAUAUCAUUUAUAUAUGUUUUUGUCAUCAUCAAAAAGGGGGAGAUUGUUAGAACAAGAUUUGUUCUUAUCAAUUAUCUUAGUUUUGAUGAUAACAAUAAUAUGAAUUUUGCUUAAGAUAAUAUGGUACUCUAAUCCAAUGCAAUUUCCCUUUCAGGAAAUAUAUAAAGAGUACGCAUAAUUCAGCGCUCAGAAGAUGUGUCUCAAAUGGUUCAGCAUGCAACAUCAGAACAUGGUCUGGCAAGACAUCAGAAGAUGGUCGAAGCAGAAUCAGAACAUGGGUCUAUGGAAGCAUCAGAAGAACAUGAGAUCAGAAGCACUGAAGAUCAGAAGAUGGUAUCACGCUCAGAAGCACUUCAAGAUCAGAAGAUCAGAAGAUGCUAUGCACCAAGCUGUUUGACUCUGAUGAUAUUCAAACGUCGUAUUCACAAACAUCAGAUCAGAAGGAAGUACACGUGGCAGACUACGCUGACUGACAAAAGGAACGUUAAAGCUACUAAAGGCAACGUCAGUAGACACAGCGUGAACAAGGCUCGAGGUAGUUGACAAAAGCGUAUAACAUUAAAUGCAAUGCUGUACGGAACACGCAAAGCAUUAAAUGCACUCAACGGUCAUCUUCUCAACGCCUAUAAAUAUGAAGUUCUGAUGAGAAGCAAGGUUACCAAUUCUUAUCAACUCUGAACGAAAAUAAACUUGCUGAAACGCUAUUCAAUCAAAGCUCAGAAUCUUCAUCAACUCACUACAUUGCUGUUGUAAUAUUUUAGUGAGAUUAAGCUUAAACGUUAAGAGAAAUAUCACAGUUGUGAUUAUAGCUUUUAAGAAGCAUUUGUAAACUCUUGAAUUGAUUACAUUAAGUUGUAAGGAACUAGAGUGAUCGUGUGAUCAGUAUACUCUAGGAAGUCUUGGCAGUUGGCUGAGCAGUUUGUAACUAGAGUGAUCAGGUUGAUCAGUAGACUCUAGAAAAGUCUUAGGAGUGAACUAAGCAGUUGUUCCUGGAGUGAUCAAGUUGUGAUCAGAAUACUCUAGAAGACUUAGUCGUGGACUAAGUGGAAAACCAUUGUAAUCCGUGCGAUUAGUGGAUUAAAUCCUCAGUUGAGGUAAAUCAUCUCUGCGGGGGUGGACUGGAGUAGCUUCGUUAACAGCGAACCAGGAUAAAAAUAAUUGUGCAAUUUAUUUUUAUCGUCCAAGAUUUAAAGUCACACUUAUUCAAUCCCCCCCCUUUCUAAGUGUUUUUCUAUCCUUCAAUACAAUCAUCUAAAUCAUUUUAAAUUAAGUGGUUAAACACGAGAAAACAUAUUCCGAUAAUUAAUAUGAUUUUCUAGUAUAAGUGGCUGUGAAUCUUUUACAAAAAUUAUAGAUUCAUAGAUAUUGGAUCAUAAUGUUUAGCUUCUAAGUCUAUGAAUAUAAUUUUGAAAAGAAUUAGUUUUGUCACAUAUAUAAAAAAGAGUUGCGACAUAAUUUAUUAUCAAUUUGUUUUGUAUUAUCUAUAACUAUAAAACGUGAAAUAAGGAAGAAACAUAAUUGAUGAUGGAAACAAGGAUUGUAUGAGUGAGAGUUAGUCAAAAAAGUGAAGUAGCCAAAAUUGGGUGGUGGCUAGCUACCUAAAUCCACUAAUGCUUCUCUUUUAACUGUCAUCAUUACAUGGUGUCAGUAAUUUGAUGUCGAUAAACUUUGUGAAACAAUGAAAAUCAUAAAGGUGAAUAAUAAUGAAGAGUUAAAGCAUUUCAAUUUGUGUUUGCCUUUGCUAUGUUAAUCUACUAUUGUUUCGGAGGUUAAUUGUUAGGACUAAUGAACUAGCCUCUCAUUUACGAACCAAUGUAUGUUGAACAAGCUGUGGUACACAUGUAUGCAUCUGUUCUUUCUCUUGUUUGUAGUUACUAGCUAAUUGAUAAUUGAUUUCAUAUCAUUUUAAAUAAUUGAGUUCUAGAUUGGGGUUUUUUUUAUAUAUUUGUUAGUAGUGGUGUAUUUAACUGCAUCGUGUGUGUUUAAUUUUACAGUUACUUUGAAGCCUCUUGUUUCUACUGCAUCGUGUGUAUUUAACUGCAUCGUGUGUGUUUAAUUUUACACGUGUAUGCUUUAGUUUGUUUGAUACAAGUUCAAUGGCUAGUAAUCAAGAAAACCCACAAGAGAACCCACAAGAAAACCCACAAGAAAACUCACAAGAUAGAGAUGCUCCGGAUACAAAUCCUCAACCCGAUACAUCAUCAAAAGAAGUUGCACGAGGCAUCACCAUUAUGAAGGGAAUCAUUCGACAUAGAGACCAAGGAUUGAUAUAUAAUUUGGAAUGGAAUUCUGAUAACCAACCAAUUGGUCCUAAUUCUGCAAAGUUGACAAGCUAUAUUGGUACACUUGUUCGUUUGCAUAUUCCAGUCUCCGUAGCUAAAUGGAAUCUGAAAAGCAAAGAGUUGGACGAGAAAAAAGACAUGAUUUGGGACGAGCUUAAGAGGUCUUUUACCAUACCAGAUGAGCGUAAACGCUUCAUUCUAAGUUUGGCCGGAAAAAGAUAUAGAGGGUGGAAAGCUUAUCUAACAAACAACUAUCUUAAGGAUAAAGAAGGAAACUUUCUUGAAGAGGCCCUAGGACGUCCAAAAAAGUAUGAGAUGUUCAUUAAUGAUGAAGAUUGGGCUAAGUUUGUAGAGCAAAGAGAUGAAGCUUUUCGGAAAAGGAGUGCCACAAAUAGUGCGAGAGCAUCAAAAGCCGCGUAUCCAUACAAAAAAGGGCGUUUGGGAUAUGCACGCUUAGGGGAAAAAAUUUUAGAGGAGACGAAAAGUGAGGAAACCUCACUUCCAGUACAUGUGUUGUGGAAGGAAGCUCGUGUGGACAAGAAUUGAGCUGUCGAUCCCGAUGUUCAAAGAGUUUAUGCUGAAUGUGAGACCUUGUCGCAAUCGGUAUCCAUCGGUGAGGACCAGGAUGAUAGGAGCGUACUUAGUAGAGCACGAGAUGCUCCUGAGUAUCCCGGUCGGGUGAGGGGUAAAGGUCAUGGUGUGACUCCAACCUCUUUUUACAAGCAUUCUAGGAGAAGAAAUCCUAACAAUGAAGAAGUGUUGCAAAAAUUACAGGAAUUGCAAGCACAAGUCUCUGAAUUGUAAAGAGAUAAAGAUAUGUAUAUGAGAGAAAAGUGCAAUACUUCAUCGGUGAAAGAAACUAGUGAUAAAGCUAGUAUCAACUGUCAAAGAAAACUUCCCGAGGGCAUUUCAUCUUGCCAACUAUACUUAUCGUUACCGAAUUAUCGCCUAGUUGGCAAGGGAAAAGUGCACAACACUUUGGGAGAUUUACUUCACCAUAGACCGCUCCCGGAUGGACACCUGAAAGUGUCAGUUGAUGUUGUAUUAGAUCAUGAUGCGGUGCUACCGGUACCUGACAUGGUCUCUGAGACAACAUUGAUGCGAGAUGCAAUAGGUCAUUUGUUGCAUGGCCCUCGGAGCUCAUUAUCAUUGGUGAUGAGACUGCUCCUACAAAACCCGCAAUUAAGGGUAAAGGGAUUUUACAGGAGGAGGAGUCUGUUGCAUCACUAAAAGAGGCAUCUGCUCGGGGGUCACAACAAGUGACAUAGCAAGUUCGUAGCGUACCACCUAAGGGUCCUCCGAAGCAAGCGGCAAAAAAGGUGGUGCUUUUGUGCCUCGAUACUGGACGACGCUCGGAACACUUGUUGAUAUG